GCACUGCUGAGGAGUCCCACUAUAGGACGAAACGGCCGUUCAGUGC
rfam:Schistosoma rodhaini strain Burundi genome assembly, scaffold: SROB_scaffold0000061